CCUUGUCCUGCUGUUAUCUACCCUUGUAAAGAGUUGAUAUAUACCAUACCACAGUGUGUCAGGAGUACUGGGAAUUGGAUUUUGCAGGAUUCUGGAAUUGCUCACACUCUGGUAUUUUUUAGUAACUCCUUGAUUUUUAGUGGCAGUGAAAAUAUUGGAUGAAAAUACUGUUUGAGCUUCGCAAAGAAUGUUUCAAAGAGAGCCAUACAACUGCUACAGCCUGUUGCUCCUUUUAAAUCCUUCUUUUUUUCAUAGAGAUCAUAGCAUUUUGCUUGGAAAAAAAACUUAAUUGCUAAAUAUACUCCUCAGGUUUAUAUCAGUUGGGUAAAUUAUUAUAGCAAGCUGCCAUUUGUUUCCUGGGUUUAUUUUUCAUGUUAAAUGUAAAUUACUGCUUAGAUUGAUGGUGUCUUCCUGGCACCCUGUUCUUCACCGUCAACCUUAGGGCAGCCCUGGGAAUAUUGCUGCUGGUUACUGGUGCAUUUCCUGAUGUUCAGAUGUUUUGAGAACGACACUAAUCAGAACCGUGGCUCCCUUCCGUCAGACUCUUUCAUUUUUCAGGAGGUGAUCACAAAACACGCAGCAUGAUUGCUUUCGCCCCAGUGUUGCUAUUUAUUAGGAUUCUUUGUCUUUCCAUUUCAUGAAUGCUCUUCUUUUUCUCCCAGGUGGUGUUCAUAAAAUAAAAUGUGACUCUGCAGUGGGACUUUAGACCAUUUUCAAAUGGAAGCUCCUGCCACAAGCUGUGACUCUGGGGCAAUACUUUGGUCUGUACCCAGAAUGCAGAAGCCACGCUUACCGCUGGGGUCCCCUGUCUGGAUGGCCCAUCCCAACUCCAUGUAGGAGAACGCUUGGUGCCCACCCUGCCUUUCCCUUGCUGUCUCCUGCUUGACAUAGAACAGCAGUGUUCUCAGUGGGAGUAUGGACAGGACUUCCAGCAGCCAUGGAUCAAUCCUUUGGGGUCUGAAAAAACACAUUGGAAAACUCAGAGUGGUGCUGUCACGGACUAAUUAAAGGCUCUGUAGUAGAUAUAGUAGAAACCUACUGGUCAAAUUAAUUCACAUUUGGGUCAUUAACUUGACUGACGUCACAGCUCUGUGAGACCAAUUUGAAACACAUGACAAAGCUUUCAAUUGUUGGGAUGCUGAGAAAAAUGAGCUGAGAAACAGUGAGCCAGUGUCUGCCUACAGAGGAAACCCUACAGCUAGAGACCACGAAGAAAGAUCUAAACAACAGUACGCUGCUUUGAUAAGACACUUCUUCCUUAUCUCUAAUUUGGGUUAAAAAAAUAUAUCAGUGAAUAUAAUUAAUAGUUCUGUACGACCUCACCUGGAGUGCAGCAUAUGUUAAUAUAGAAGAGGGAAAGCAUGAGGUCCCCUCAUCUUGGAGCAGAGGGGCAGAACUUUAACAUGCAUGCAGCACUGAGAUCCACAAGUUUGGAGAGAGGAUGGGGGGAGCAGCAGCAGUGUCAAGUAUCUCAAGUAUCUUUCAGUAUCUAAAAAGAGGCUGUAAGAAGGAAUGGGACAUACUCUUUAGCAGGGGCUGCUGUGACAGCACAAGGGGAAAUGGUUUCAAACUAAAAGAGGGGAGAGUUAGACUGGAUAUAAGGAAAAAGAUUUUUACACUAAAAACAUUGAGGCACUGCACAGACUGCACAGAGAGGUGGUGGUGCCCCAUCCCUGCACACACCCAAGGUCAGGGGAUGGGCUGUGAGCAGUGAUGGAGCUGUGGGUAUCUCUGUGCACUGCAAGGAGUGGGACCAGAGGGCCUCUGUGGGUCCCUUCCAACCCAAACCAUUCUGUGGUCCUAUGAUUCAAGGCAUUGCCCUUCUGUGAAUACAGAGCAGGGCCUGGGGGGUGAUCUCAGUGCAGAAACCAAAAGGGUGGACCUGGGCUGUGAACACACCCUCAGUUAAGGCAUUUCUUGAUAUCCAGCUUGGCAGCAUUCAGACAGAAUUUGGGGACAGAUACCUGUCUGUGCAGCUCUGCCUGCAGCAGCCACUCCUGGGAAGGGAGCAGCCCUUACCAGGAACAUCACGGCUGAAUCUGGGCCACUGUUAUUUCCUAGCAAGAUGCCUAGCAUUAAUCAGCUGGUAUUUAAUUAAUAGAAAAGAUCAGUCUGAUUACAUUUCAAUUAAGCACAUGUUUGAAGCGGUGACAUUCUGGAUGCUGUUGGACAACCUUGCUGACCACACAGAUGGCAGGCAAUGAAAACAUUAGCCAAAUAUUUUCACUAUGACUGGUUGAACAAAAUCAAGUACAUCCAUUAUAAUGAGCCAUGUUAUCACGCAGCCCUCGGUGGUACAGCAAGCAGUGAAAUUACCACCAUAACAGAUUGCCACUCACUCUAACAUAUGCUGACUCUCCAACUUAUUCUGUAUUUCUGUACUCAAACAAAGAUAUACGGAUGAAUUAAGUUCUUUGAUCUGUAAUGAGUGCCAUGAAUCCACAGGUUCCCAAACAACAGCACGGAGAAUCCAGUAGCUAUUAUAUUAUUCAAAUAUGAUGUUUUUCCCCCCUCUCUCUGUAUUAGUGAAUUCUUAUUAAAAUACCUUUGCAGAGGAAAGUUAUUAAGGAGCCUGUUUGGUUAAUUCAUCAAUAAGAAAACAGUCACCAAAGAAAAGUCACCCUCGGUCCUUGGGUGCACAGACAUUCAUUCCAGUGACAAAACUUGAACAUAAUUACUUAGCUGUGUGAUGUGAUGGCUUUAUUAUAUGAAUCUGAAUUAAUCUGACUUUGAAAUGACAAAUUUCACAGCAGUUUAUUAGGAUGUGACUGCUAAAUGACUGAUAUGACAACGACACGUGUAGUAAUCAUAACCUACUAAUGCAGUUGUGCUUUUUAUCCCCCAGAUGUAGCCCUGACAAUGGUGCUUUAGCUGAUUCCAGGAAUCUAGGGAAAUUGCAUGAUAUUUUUUAUUAUAUUGCAUUAUAAAAAUACAUAAAAGCUCUUAUUUUAACACAGUAGACCCACAAUACACUGUACUGUAAAACCUCACUAGUGACUAUUGAUGUUGAAAGGACUGCCAUAGGGCUUUACAGUGUCAUUAAGCAAUAACAUUAGCAAAAUAAGACCCUGCACCAGCAGCAGGCUGGACCACUGGUAGGCACACGCAGAGCAAAGCCAUUUACUCCUGAAGAGAGCCAGAGCAUUGCUGCAGAAGGUUUUCCUGCUCCAUUCCCACUACCUGAGCUCUGCGUCUGGUGGAGACAUCCUUCCAAAAGGACGCACUGAACCAUCCCCAUCCUUUUGUCAUAGCCAACUUUACUGGGAAGAGGGAAGGUUGUGCAGUUCGAGGGAUUCAUUGCUCAUGAGGAAACAAAAAUAAUGAGAAUAAAAAGUCAGUCCACUGUCCUCCAGUAGGGCCUGGAGGACUCAGCAAACCCGGAGCCUCCCAAUUACUCUCUUCAAGUCCUUGUGCAUGCUGAAGAACUGUUUUAAAGCAGAGCCUGCAGGUAGGACAGGAGCAGUGCUCAGCCUCUUCCAACAGCAGAGAACUGCCUCUCUCUUUCAUCCCUUCCUCUGUAUGGCCCUCAUUCAAGGAUGCAGUUGGCUGAGGGGCCCCUUGGAGUACCAAUGAUGGCUUCAGAGGUGGAACAUGGAGACAUCUGCCUGGGAGCAUGGAGACAUCUACCAUGCCUUGAGCUAUGCCCUAUUCUUCACCUUGGCCAGCAUUGCUUCCUGCUUCACUUUUUUCAAGCACCGCAUUCUGGAAUUAACGUGGUGUUGGGUUGCAGCCUGAUGGAGUAGGGAUCCACUGGCACAGCCCAUUGGGCAUCACUAGAGCUUUGCAGUAACUAAAAGAAAGCUUCUGGAUUGAGUAGAUGCAAAACCUCUUAAAAACCAGGUCUACUUCAGGGGAAUUAGUUCUAUAUUUAGCUGAAAUUUCCACUGCUGCUGUACCUGUAAAAGAGCGUUAGUAUCCUCAUUAUUCAAUUAGACAGAUACACUGGCAAUAAAAUAUUCCUUUUUUUUUUUUUUUUUUUUUUUUUUUGCAGCAGAAGCUGAAUGAUAUUUCCUUGAAUACCUGCAGACAUAAUCCCUAAUUGUUGCCUCAUAUAUCUUAACUGUAUUAUUUUUUAUUUCCAAGUGUAAAUAAAUGUACUGCUCGGGAUGAUCAUAUUUCACACCAAUUUAUUUGAAUGACAUUAAUGAGUUCUCCCUACCAGUGAGACCUUGGAGAGCUAGACUGUGUUUUGCUACCCACCAUCAUAUAUUAAAACUAAGUAAAUAAAUAAAAAUCAGCUAUGGGUAUGCCUGAAAGGAUUCAUUUUUUGGUGAGAGCUAUUUGUAUUCCUCAGUUAUGAGCCCAUGGUAACAUUAACAAAACAAUCAUCAUCAUAAUAAUUUCAUUAAAAUUCUGGAGACUUGGAAGUGCUCCUGAUGCAUGUGAAGGUCACAGCUGCUAAUAGGCCACAUUUUGCAGUUGGAAGUACUCCACAGGUAUGGUACAUUUAAUGUUGUAAUUCUGGGAGGCACAGAGAGUGGCGUUUGGUUAGAUUCAAAAAAAGGAACUAUGUUGAAAGGGGGAAGAUACGUUUGCUAUGCUUAGUAUUAAAAAUCUAUCUUUGUUCCUUGCCUGAAGACCAAAGUCACAUUCAUGUUAACUGUAACUUCUUAAUAGAAAUGUCUCAGCAGAGUUCCUGUCACAUUUGACUCCCAGUUUACACCAUUUCCUCAAAACUACAUCUGGAAAUCACCACUUUUCAGCCUCUACAAUUAACAGGUUUUUUUCUCCAUGCCGGGAAAAGCCAUCUCCAGGGCUACAUGCACUUCCUUGUCUUCCUUCUGCUGAUACUUCAGCUCUCACCUCAGUCCUGGAGCAGGGGCAUGACACCAAGCAAACCAAGGGUUGUGUGCAAGUAACAGCACCAACAUUAUGAGCUGUUGUAUGGAAGCAGAGGAGUCUGAAUAUAAGGAAAAAGACUGAAUAUAAAGAAAAAGUUUUCACAACAAGGGUGGUAAAGCAGUGGCACAGGUUACCCAGAGAGGUGGUGUCCCAUCCCUGCACACACCCGAGGUCAGGGGAUGGGCUCUGAGCACUGAUGGAGCUGUGGGUGUCCCUGUGCACUGCAGAGGAGUGGGACUAGUUGGCCUUUGAGGGUCCCUUCCAACUCAAAUCAUUCUGUGAUUCUAUGAUUCUGUUCUAUCCUGGCAGAGUUUCUCUGCAGUGACUCCAGGUAAGAGUGAUCUAGGAACUGGAUGGGACAGCAAUGGAGAUGCACGAUGGGGUUCACUUUCUAUGUUGCUUUCAGUGGUAUUUGAGGCUGUUGUUGCAGAAUCAUGCAUUUUUAUGUGCAUGAAGGCCAGAUCUCAGAGGUCUCUGUUGGAGAGGCUAAGACAGCAAGGGUGAACUGAGAUCUGAAAGGGACUUUUCCUUCCACUUUACAUAUGGCCAAAAGCACAGUUGGUCAUAGCUGAAAAAGCCUUGGGUGCUGAAAUGAAGCGUGGUCACCUUCCUUUUUUUGCCAGCUGCACUGCCCUUUCUCAAAGGGGUGUCGGGAUAAGAGCAUAUGAUGGAAGGUAUCUUUAUGUGGUACUAAUGAAAGCCUGUAAUGACCACUGAUGAGAUGUUAUCAUAGAAAAGAAUCAUAGAAUGGCCUGGGUUGAAAAGGACCAUAAUGCUCAUCUAGUUUCAACCCCCCUGCCACGGGCAGGGUCGCCAACCAGCAGACCAGGCUGCCCAGAGCCACAUCCAGCCUGGCCUUGAAUGCAUCCAGAGAUGGGGCAUCUGUUGGCACAGACCACAUGGGGAACAUUGGCACUGAAGCCUGGAGAUCUUGUUUGCCCACAUGUACGGUAUCGCCCAGCCUUGUGGUACCCACCAAGAUCCCUCAGUAGAAGCAGAAAACCAUUCUCGCAGAUUAGUCCUUCAUUUAGGGACGUGAAAGGUUUUUCCCCUAAUGCUAUUUGUCAGCAGCAUUUCCACAGGGCAUCUGCAUCAACAUUCCUGUGCCACAAGCCUGCCUGCUGAAGCAUAGUAUAUUCUGCACUUUAUAUUCAUGGCAGCUGAGUGAUUCUCCUUCCUUUGAGUGGCAUACUGCCACCCAUACAUUACAGAGAGAGCAAAACUCUGCAGAGUCAUUGAAGCUAACCAUACAUUACAUGCAUGAUGGGCUUACCAGAUGUCAUUCCUUACAUUGUUAUGGUUUCAUAAACUACACCGACAUUGUCAUUAUGCUCAAAAAUUUGAUCCCACUCUUCUAUUCUUGAAAUGGAUGAUUCUGAAGGUUGUUACAUUAACAAAUAGGAGUUUGCAGGAAGGUAGAUUUGCAACAGGAGUUUGUGAAUGACUGGGUUAUAACAUUUGCUGGAAAACGGCAUGACAAUUGAUUCAUUGCUGGAGACAGUAACAAAAAGGCAAUGCAAAUUGAAAGGUUAGAGGAGCCAUAAAGCUUUAAGAAAAGAUUUAUUACAGUAGGUGGACAUAUUUUGCUCAGGAACUGAAAUUGCAGCCAUCUUCCCUGUAUUUAUGAGGCAUUUAAUUAAUCAGUCAUAAUAAGUACGUUAAAAACUAAAUCUCUCCUAUUAAGAUCUACAUUCAUCUUGAUGCCUUCUCCAUUAUGACUUGUUUUGUGAUAGCAGACAAAUUCACUUCAGGUACAUGAAGAGGGAUGAACCCUCUUCAGCAGAGCUUGCAACCAAGAGUGCCCACAACCUGAGCAAAGGGCAAAACACACAACAAAGAAGGGAUACACUUAGAAGACACAGGAAAAGGCUGUGCUUCCAUAUCAACAUGGAAGGAGCUCUGGAGGUGUUGUCUGGGGGAGCAGAUUGGCGUGAACACAGGGUUGCUUUUCACCAGGAGCAGUGAAUUGGCAGCAGGGAGAUGGAGAGGCUGACAGGCACUGCAGACACCUGCAGCAGGGAGCUCAGCCUUGCUCCAGUUUCCAACGGCACGUGGCAGAAAUGUCCAUCACCUCCCUGAGACCUCCGUGCAAACUGGAGCGAGUCAGCAUCUCUAAAAUAAGACUGGGAUGCCUGCAGGCAAUGGGCAAAUGCUGAGCCAGGGACAGCUCUUUGUCUUUAAAAAGCACAUUGAUUUUUGCAGGCCCAUCUCCAUAUACACAACUGGGGGAUUUGGCCUUGUGCCUUUCUAGGAGGAGAAGUGCCGUGUAUUUUGGGUUAAUUUCUUUCUUUUUCAACAGGCUUCCUCCGUCUCUCGUCUCACAGUGAACACACAGAGGACUGCGACAAGAAACGCAGAGACAAUAGCGGACCCCAACAGCAUACAUUAUUAACAAUGUCUGCAUUCCUUAGUGUCCUUGCUGCUAAAAUUAACACAGCCCGUGUGGCAUCCUGCCAGAGCGAGCACAGUGCACGUCAUAAACAAUACAGGGAAGGAGAUGUUUUCCAUCAGACAUCUAUAAGCGAUUUCCUUCUACCCUGAAGACAUAAAGAUGUGUAGAGGACCAUUAAUAGGAAUGGAUGUGCUCGAGCAGAAGAUCGUGGGAAGCCACCCUUCAGAUUGCUGUGCUACAUGCUGAUGAGUCAAUCUGUUGCACUGGAUGUCUUCGGAGAAGGACAGAAAUAACGAUCCUACUGUCCUGUGAAGAGCUGGAGAGGAAAUGUCAGCCAACAGCAUAUGCAAGUUCCCCAAAGCAGCAUCUCUGGAGCAGUCAGUAAUGGAGAUGGAGGAAACGUGAAGCUUGGAGAGAAAAGUCUCUCUGAAUAACUACUACUAACAUGGAAGAUAAAGAAAUCAGAGUGAUCCAUGUUCAGGGAAGGACCAAUGUGAGAGGUGUGUAUGGUGGUGGAAAAGUAUGAGUGUUACAGGAAGGACAGAGAAAUCUGAACAUCUGCUUGCACUGAUAAUGCUGAAAGACAACAAGUUGUCUCUUGAAUUUUCUCAAGGGAGUUUUCUUUGUAUUCUGUGUAUUCUUGUGUGCAGAUAAAAGAAUAAACAAGGUCAAGAAGA